AGUCACAAAAUUAAACAAAAUUUAAAAACAAAAAUAAAAUUUCCAAAUGUCUCAUUUCAACGUCACCUAACAAAAUUUACUCGUUCCAGUGCUCAGAGUUCCAGUGUUUGUUGCAUACCACGGCAUGGCGUCGACUGCAGUCAUUUUUAUGUUGCCAUAUUGUUGGACUACCGGACUUGUUAUUCGGGAUGACAAACACCAGCACACACCAAUGCACUCGGUGCACUUCAGUUGGCUGUGGUCACGUUAAGCACGUUUUCUGGUCAUUUUACGGUGACUGAGAAUCAGGUACAUACUUCGAAUGGCUGCAUUUUUUCAUUCGGCACUAUAUUCCAUGGUUGUUGUCCAUAACGAUGAUUACGCCUGUAAUAGUAUUAAGUAAAAGCUUAACAAGAUAUAGCAUCCCUGCACUUUGAUGAGUAAACAUCAUAUUUUUGAAAAUUUCUAAAUUGAAGCAAGAACGAGAACUUGUAUGUCACUUAAAUAAAUUGUUUCUUUAAUAAAGAUAAUUGAAUUAGAACAUACUGAA